GAUGAACGCUAGCGGGAGGCCUAACACAUGCAAGCCGAGCGGUAUAGAUCUUUCGGGAUCUAGAGAGCGGCGUACGGGUGCGGAACACGUGUGCAACCUGCCUUUAUCUGGGGGAUAGCCUUUCGAAAGGGAGAUUAAUACCCCAUAAUAUAUCAGAUGGCAUCAUUUGAUAUUGAAAACUCCGGUGGAUAGAGAUGGGCACGCGCAAGAUUAGAUAGUUGGUGAGGUAACGGCUCACCAAGUCUACGAUCUUUAGGGGGCCUGAGAGGGUGAUCCCCCACACUGGUACUGAGACACGGACCAGACUCCUACGGGAGGCAGCAGUGAGGAAUAUUGGACAAUGGGUGAGAGCCUGAUCCAGCCAUCCCGCGUGAAGGACGACGGCCCUAUGGGUUGUAAACUUCUUUUGUAUAGGGAUAAACCUACCCUCGUGAGGGUAGCUGAAGGUACUAUACGAAUAAGCACCGGCUAACUCCGUGCCAGCAGCCGCGGUAAUACGGAGGGUGCAAGCGUUAUCCGGAUUUAUUGGGUUUAAAGGGUCCGUAGGCGGAUGUGUAAGUCAGUGGUGAAAUCUCACAGCUUAACUGUGAAACUGCCAUUGAUACUGCAUGUCUUGAGUGUUGUUGAAGUAGCUGGAAUAAGUAGUGUAGCGGUGAAAUGCAUAGAUAUUACUUAGAACACCAAUUGCGAAGGCAGGUUACUAAGCAACAACUGACGCUGAUGGACGAAAGCGUGGGGAGCGAACAGGAUUAGAUACCCUGGUAGUCCACGCCGUAAACGAUGCCUAACUCGUUUUUGGGCUUUCGGGUUCAGAGACUAAGCGAAAGUGAUAAGUUAGCCACCUGGGGAGUACGUUCGCAAGAAUGAAACUCAAAGGAAUUGACGGGGGCCCGCACAAGCGGUGGAUUAUGUGGUUUAAUUCGAUGAUACGCGAGGAACCUUACCAAGGCUUAAAUGGGAAAUGACAGGUUUAGAAAUAGACUUUUCUUCGGACAUUUUUCAAGGUGCUGCAUGGUUGUCGUCAGCUCGUGCCGUGAGGUGUUAGGUUAAGUCCUGCAACGAGCGCAACCCCUGUCACUAGUUGCCAUCAUUAAGUUGGG
rnacentral:rRNA from 2 species